UUGGAGGGCAAGUCUGGUGCCAGCAGCCGCGGUAAUUCCAGCUCCAAUAGCGUAUAUUAAAGUUGCUGCAGUUAAAAAGCUCGUAGUUGAAUUUCGGGAUCAAUUUGUCGGUCGUGCCUCGGUACGUACUGGCAUUAUUGGUUUCUACCUUCUGAAGAACCUUGAUGUCAUUAAUUUGGUGUCUUGGGGAAUCAGGACUGUUACUUUGAAAAAAUUAGAGUGUUUAAAGCAGGCAUACGCUUGAAUACAUUAGCAUGGAAUAAUGAAAUAGGACGUUUGAUUCUAUUUUGUUGGUUUCUAGGAUUGACGUAAUGAUUAAUAGGGAUAGUUGGGGGCAUUAGUAUUCAAUUGUCAGAGGUGAAAUUCUUGGAUUUAUUGAAGACUAACUACUGCGAAAGCAUUUGCCAAGGAUGUUUUCAUUAAUCAAGAACGAAAGUUAGGGGAUCGAAGACGAUCAGAUACCGUCGUAGUCUUAACCAUAAACUAUGCCGACUAGGGAUCGGAUGAUGUUAAUUUUUUAAUGACUCAUUCGGCGCCUUACGGGAAAC
rnacentral:rRNA from 1 species